rnacentral:lncRNA from 1 species
UAAGAAAGCAUGCUUUUGCUAUUCUAUGUUCUUGUUUUAUAAAAUCUGACAAGAAAAUUGGAGAAACAAGUUUGAUGAAAAUCCCUUUUCCAUUUUAGCGUGACACCCAAUAUACAAAAGGUUCCCAGUCUGUGUAGUUAAAGACAAUCAGAAAGCCCCUUAGAAUUAUUUUUUUAAUUUGUUUAAAACUGUGAUGUCAAGUUUUGUUUUUUGUAGUAUAUCUUCCUUUUAUAGGGGAUCUUACUAUUGGAUGAGAAAAAUGCAAGGAAGGGAGCUUUUUGCCUCAGAAAAUGCAAGAAAGAAAGCCAACUCACACAUCUGGUUUGAAUUAAUUUAGGCUUACAGUGUAUUACUUGUGUUUCAUAGAUAAUUGAUGGUCUCAUGGUUAUAUUUUCUAUGGUCAUGCAAAUGGCAUCCAACAUCUUCUGUGCAUGUGUGCUUACUUGGUGUCAAGUGCUUUAUUUGAGACUUCUAUUGAGCAGAAAGCUAGUAUUGACUGGCAGUACUGAUGCCUUUCGUAGUUCUGUUAUAUUAUUGUUUUCAUAUAUCUCUUUUGAGGCAAAGCUUAUAUAAAUUGCUCCAUUGGGUUGGCUCAUCAACUUGUGUUCCUAAAAUAAAAUCUUGAAAAUAAGAUUAAUUUGCCGAUGAAUGAACUUGUUUCUUGAAUAAUCUUUGAUUAGUUAGGCAUAUGGAAAUUUUCUUGAUUAACUUUUGUUGAUUCCCUUCUACUGAAAAUUGCGGGUAAUGCUUCCAAGGACACGUGUAUGCAGGAUCAGUGUUAUGUCUGGUUUUUCCGGAAUGGGUUUUUCAACUAACAAAAUUUUCUGAGGCUUCUUUCCUUGUGUCAUUAGCUUUGUAUAUUCUUUAUGGUCUUUAACUUUGUUUAUUUUUUCUUGAGCUCAUAAAUUGUUAUAAGGAGUCUAGUGGCUUGCUUCAAGUUAAUUUUUCCAUAGUGUUCGGUUUUGCUAAUGCAAAAAACUUUUUCAAUGGUAAAACUGUGCUGAUAGAUAUAUUAUAUUUAUUUCUCAUGUCUUAUUCAUUAACUACUGGUCUUCACUUUCGACUCUAGUAUGGUGUGAUGAUCCCGUCUUUCCUUGCCGGAUACACCAUUGCACUUUGUGUUUAGUAGUAUAACUUGGCGUGCGCAUUGAAAAGGCCCAUAAUGGUGCACUACAUGCAGGCUUUACCAUGCAUAGAUGCCAAUAGUAAAUUUUAGAUUGUUUCUAAACCUGUUCUAAAAUUUAGAUGCCAAUAGGGAAAUAACCUUUCUCAUACCAAGGCUUUCUGAAGUUUUUCUUUUAAAUCAUCUUGUUCUUCCUGGAACUUCAGAUAUCACAGUGGGCUUUUUUUUUUUCAGAAAACAAGAAUAGAUAUGCAACACAGUACUUGAAAAAUUAUUUUAUUGAUAUUCUGUUCAAAAUGUAUAUUACUUGUUCAAAAUGAAUACUUGUAGAAACUUGACUCUCAUUUGGUAUAUUUGUUAUAUUUCCUACAUCUGCUUCAAAUUAGUCAAUGCAGUUGAUGUUUGGUGGUUCCGUUGUUUAACAGAGUUAUUUAGGCAUAUCUGAUGCAGUCUAUUAUGAUGAACUGGAUUAAGCUCACUCUAGGAUCUUGUGAAACAUUGUGUUCCAUCUGUUCCUUUGCAGCCUGAAAUUUUCUGGCCAGCUUGAGAAACCUUGGUUUUUUUCUGAUGAAAAAUAUUAAUGUGGUAAUGAGGCAUCAUGAUCAUAAUAUGUCUGAGCAAGUACAGAUAGUUC